rnacentral:rRNA from 1 species
UAAUACAGAGGGUGCAAGCGUUAAUCGGAGUUACUGGGCGUAAAGGGCGCGUAGGCGGUCCCGCAAGUGAGAUGUGAAAUCCCCGGGCUUAACCUGGGAACUGCAUCUUAAACUGCGGGGCUGGAGUACUGUAGAGGAUAGUGGAAUUUCCGGUGUAGCGGUGAAAUGCGUAGAGAUCGGAAGGAACACCAGUGGCGAAGGCGACUGUCUGGACAGAUACUGACGCUGAGGCGCGAAAGCGUGGGGAGCAAACAGGAUUAGAUACCCUGGUAGUCCACGCUGUAAACGAUGAGAACUAGAUGUUGGUAGGCUUGGCCUAUUAGUAUCGAAGCUAACGCGAUAAGUUCUCCGCCUGGGGAGUACGGCCGCAAGGUUA